UUACAAGUAUACCCCAUCCUAUGGUGGAAGGGAUUACCGAUUACAUGGUAUUACCGUUACAAAUUGGUUGUGUUUGGUAUAACAGUUAUCUGGUUGGAAGCAUUUCGCAUUGGAGUCAAAUGGUCUUUAAACUGCUACUGAAAAUGUACUCAAAAACUUUUAAUGGCAUGGUCCGAGAUAAUCUUCACAACAUUUUUCAUCAAAUUGUCUAUUGAGCCCAAAAAAUAGCAAAUAUGUAUGUGUAUACUUUUUUUUGACAUAAUUGUCAGGGAUACUAGACAUUCCAGGAACUCACACCCGUUUGUAAUUGAUUGGCAAGCGGACCUCACAAUGCAUUAUAGGGUGAAUUCUUAUUUCGCCAGAACUGUUCGUAUGUGGAAUCGACUACCGGCUAAUGUUGUUUGACAACUUUGAAAUCCAAAGAUUUAAGACAAAUUUCAAUAAACCCUACAUCCGGAAGCGGCGGUGCCCCAAAUACAUGGUCCCACAUUUGGAUAUUCGUAUUCUA